AAACUAGGAUUAGAUACCCUAUUAUUUAAAAUAUAAUUAUAAAUACUUAAGUAGUAGUAGUUAUGUUCUUGAAACUUAAAAAAUUUGGCGGUAUUUUAGUCUAUCCAGAGGAACCUGUUUUGUAAUCGAUAAUCCACGAUGGACCUUACUUAAGUUUGUAAUCAGUUUAUAUACCGUCGUUAUCAGAAUAUUUUAUAAGAAUAAAAAUAUUCAAUAAUUUAUAUUAAAAUUUAUAUCAGAUCAAGGUGUAGCUUAUACUUAAGUAAUAAUGGGUUACAAUAAAAAUAUUUAAACGAAUAAAAUAAUGAAAAAAUUUUUGAAGGUGGAUUUGGUAGUAAAAUUAUAAAGAUUAAUAAUUUGAUUUUAGCUCUAAAAUAUGUACACAUCGCCCGUCGCUCUUAUUAUUAAGGUAAGAUAAGUCGUAACAUAGUA
rnacentral:rRNA from 1 species